rnacentral:rRNA from 1 species
UACGAAGGGGGCUAGCGUUGCUCGGAAUCACUGGGCGUAAAGCGCACGUAGGCGGUUCUUUAAGUCAGGGGUGAAAUCCUGGAGCUCAACUCCAGAACUGCCUUUGAUACUGGGGAUCUCGAGUCCGGGAGAGGUGAGUGGAACUCCGAGUGUAGAGGUGAAAUUCGUAGAUAUUCGGAAGAACACCAGUGGCGAAGGCGGCUACCUGGACCGGUUCUGACGCUGAGGCGCGAAAGCGUGGGUAGCAAACAGG